GUUUGAUCCUGGCUCAGAGUGAACGCUGGCGGCAGGCCUAACACAUGCAAGUCGAGCGGCAGCACGGGUAGCAAUACACCUUGAUGGCGAGUGGCGGACGGGUGAGGAAUGCAUCGGAAUCUGCCCAGUCGUGGGGGAUAACGUAGGGAAACUUACGCUAAUACCGCAUACGACCGUAAGGUGAAAGCGGGGGAUCGUAAGACCUCGCGCGAUUGGAUGAGCCGAUGCCGGAUUAGCUUGUUGGUGGGGUAAAAGCCCACCAAGGCGACGAUCCGUAGCUGGUCUGAGAGGAUGAUCAGCCACACUGGGACUGAGACACGGCCCAGACUCCUACGGGAGGCAGCAGUGGGGAAUCUUGCGCUAAUGCGGGAAACCGUGACGCAGCGACGCCGCGUGGGGGAAGAGGGCCUUCGGGUUGUAAACCUCUUUCAGGAGGGACGAAGCUACUCGGGUUAAUAGCCCAGAGGGUGACGGUACCUCCAGAAGAAGCCCCGGCUAACUACGUGCCAGCAGCCGCGGUUAG
rnacentral:rRNA from 1 species